AGCGGAAUUCGUGAGACCCUCUACUCCACAGCCUCUGCAGCAAUUACAUUGUAGACAUUUUAAUCAUGGCCAAUCUGACCAGUGUGAAAUGAUACCUCAAUGUGGUUUUGAUUUGCACUUCUUUUAUGAUGAGUGAUGCUGAGCAGCUUUUCUGUGUCUCUUAGUAAUCUGUAUAGAUUCUUUGGUUUGUUUUUCUGAGCGGAAUUCGUGAG
rnacentral:sRNA from 1 species